ACCUGGCAACCCUGAAGAGACGGUUAGCAUGGAGGACAGCAGCUAACGCUCCAGCCUCUCACCCAAAUAUGGUCACUUCUGGCUCCAAAAAUCAAGAUGGCGACGGCUGUAAUGCAGAACUCGAGGCUUCAAAAUAGGUGUCCAGAAACCAGUGGGUGACAUCACAGUAGAAAAUGUUUUCUCAUAUACCCCUGGUGGUGUCUCGCCAUGCUGAUAAGGCCUUCUCUGAUACUUCUUCCACCACCACAGUGCAAUGGAGCUGAAUGGAAUUUAAUUUAUGGUGCUCAGCAUGGAAAAUAAAAUUCAAAGAACUGGGAAGCAACAUUUCUUUUAAAAAACAAUGUCCGAUUUGCUCUGGAUAAUCCCCAGUCCCUAUUUUCAAUGGUACCUUUUCUUUUGUAUGAAGGUACAUUUGUCAUAAAUCCACAGACCUAGCUGUGGAAGUAAAAAGAAGGAUUUGCACUUUAAGCUGCACAAACAACUGAAUGCUUCUGCUCAAAAGUUCAAAUCUGUGGGGAAACUUUCAGUGUGCAUCAUAUUUUUUUUUUUUUUUUUUUAAAUAUAUUUUAGGAGUUGAGCGCAUUAAGGUGAAUGGUUUGUGGCACUUAUGCUUUCAUACUUUAUGUUUGGUUCAGUUAAAACGCACUCAGGUCCGUUUGUGUGAAAGCUGUCAGUCAAACCCUGGUGCAGACAAACUGGACUCUGGUGAGGUUUGUUUCUGGUGUAAAAGAAAACGAACCAACCACAGGAUUUUUUGACAGCAGAUAUGUGAUUUGAUAACAGCUAAACCAAUAAUAGAUCCAUCUACUGAUAAUAAAAUCUAUCUGCGAUCUCAUAACUGAUCCUGAUAAAGGCAACAUAUAUCCCGUAACCUGUUUAUGCUAAUACAUACAUGUA